rnacentral:lncRNA from 1 species
UAUAAGAGCAAGUAUAAUAAGGUGACAUAAGCAAGUUAUAAAGAUAAAAUAUUAUAUUAUUGCUUAGUUAAAGGAGAGAGAGGAGAAGAGAGAAGAGAAGUGGGCUCUUGGUGAGUAGUCAGAUACAACACGAGACCCAAGACACUUUAUGAGAUUGUAAGGUGGGUCAACUACUACUAUAUGUCGGCUAUUAGGUUGGUUCUAUAUGACAUGACAACUCUUUAUAGUCGAUUGUUGGCUGUAUUAUUAACCAUGCUCUAGGACUGCUGCUAUGCUACAUGCUCACGCGUGGCUCGCUAGCAUAGACAGGCUUUGGCCUUGGGUUUGACACCGGCCGCCUCCUUUUUUUUUUCUCGUACGCAUGUAAUGCUUCAGAUUUCCUUUGACCGAGUCCGCUGGCAUGUUAUCUGCGUGCAAACAGCCGCCGGUUCGGUCUCCGCUGGUGGUUGUCUUUGCUCCUCACAUGAGGAGGUAUACCGAAGAUACUUUGUAUGAUGAUGAGAGUGCUAAU